GUGCUUGCUUGGGCAGCACAUAUGCUAAAAUUGGAAUAAGAAGAUUAGCAUGGCCCCUGCACAAGGAUGACACACAAAUUUGUAAAGUGUUCCAUAUUUGU
ensembl:snRNA U6 U6 spliceosomal RNA